UGGGGAAUAUUGCACAAUGGGCGCAAGCCUGAUGCAGCCAUGCCGCGUGUGUGAAGAAGGCCUUCGGGUUGUAAAGCACUUUCAGCGGGGAGGAAGGCGAUAAGGUUAAUAACCUUGUCGAUUGACGUUACCCGCAGAAGAAGCACCGGCUAACUCCGUGCCAGCAGCCGCGGUAAUACGGAGGGUGCAAGCGUUAAUCGGAAUUACUGGGCGUAAAGCGCACGCAGGCGGUCUGUCAAGUCGGAUGUGAAAUCCCCGGGCUCAACCUGGGAACUGCAUUCGAAACUGGCAGGCUAGAGUCUUGUAGAGGGGGGUAGAAUUCCAGGUGUAGCGGUGAAAUGCGUAGAGAUCUGGAGGAAUACCGGUGGCGAAGGCGGCCCUCUGGACAAAGACUGACGCUCAGGUGCGAAAGCGUGGGGAGCAAACAGG
rnacentral:rRNA from 1 species